rnacentral:rRNA from 1 species
CCUACGGGUGGCAGCAGUUGGGAAUCUUGCACAAUGGGGGAAACCCUGAUGCAGCGACGCCGCGUGGAGGACGAAGGAUCUAGGUCUGUAAACUCCUUUUUCAGGGAAAGACUUAGGACGGUACCCUGAGAAUAAGCACCGGCUAACUACGUGCCAGCAGCCGCGGUAAGACGUAGGGUGCAAGCGUUGUCCGGAUUUACUGGGCGUAAAGGGCGCGUAGGCGGCUUGUUAAGUGUGAAGUGAAAUCUCCAGUGCUCAACACGGAAACUGCUUUA